UCCAUUCUCUUAACUUGACAUUUGCGUCGAGCGGAAGUCUCGUCUCUGUUUCACGUGCGUGCGCAGCAGCUGAUGGCAGCAGUGUCGAGAUCGUUUGGCUUCUGUUUCUAACCCCCUUUCCGCACCUUUAAAAAAAAGUCUUAGGGAACUGGGUGAUUAGUAGAUUGAAAGGUGGAAGUGGGGGGAAAGAGUGGGGAGAAAGAAAGGAUCCAGUUUGCUGAUCUCACCUACCAGACAUAGAUGAGUCAUCAACUGACAUAAAUAUUGUGUGUGUGUCUGCGAGCGCGCUUACGUGCUCAUCCUCGUGGCACAGCUGUUUCAUUAUGUUUAUACAUGUACGGGGAUGUAUGUAUAUGUGGAUGAAUCCACACGUGAAUGUGCAAGUAUGUGUGUUGACAUGCAUGGAUGGAUGUACAUUUAUAUGAUUGUACCGAGGUGUUGCAAAUCAUCGUCGUUUGCUCGCUCCAUUUCCUUCACCUGCUCAGUGACUUGUGAUCGCCAUGUGUCGCCGUCACGUGACACAACCUGUCAGUCACAGAAACGCGUGCCUGCACAUAAUCAGAAGCCAGACUCUUCCUCCACAGGCUGCCGUCAUCUCUCUUUACACCCAACAGAUCGCAGGAUGGGAAGAAGGUUUCCUGAGGCUGACAGCGGACCUGCGAGCGCUGGGUUCAUUCAGUGCACUACACAGAGCCAUUGAUGGGUUGGAGUGACUUUAACCGACGUGGCAUAAAUGAUGACUUGUUUAGUCAGUUUACAAAUACUAAUCAGUCAUCCGCCAACGCGCGGGGAGUCCACAGUCUCUCAUAGUUCUCCUCUCAUCACCUGGUCGCAGGCCGCCCUCAAGGCCUGACAGACACCCAGGCCGGCGUCAACAAGGAUUUCUCCAAGACUGAAAUUGUAGAUAAUUUGAAGCCCAGCCCUUUGGGGAAAGCCAUGCUUUCCUGCUUAUCGCGGGUGUGCAAUGACUAAGAGGACAGGUGUGAAGGUUUUCGCGUGCACAACAGGAAGUCUCGGGACCAGAUGGGAGGAUGGUCGUGAAGAAAGGAAGUAAAAGGUUAGCAUUGCAAAUCGCCCUCGUCACUCGGGACCCACACCUUCCUGGACAAGCUUGACACCCACCAUCGAGCAGAAUGAACCCACCUACCGUUGGCCUUCAGAUUAUACCCGGGUAUGUCGGCAAGCUUGAGAGGCCCGCGGGUCAAAGUUAUUUUCCCAUGUGAGGCUGUUUCCUAGAAAUGGGAUCCUUCUUGGGAAACCCACAUUGCUGGCGAGGACUGGCGAGGCUCCACCUCCUGGUGACCCGAGCGUUCAGCAGAAAGUGAACAGUUCUCCAGCUCACCGGGCUUUCGGUUUCAAACAGGGUUGCGGCGAUCUGACCUACACGGGCCGCGGGGGUCACUUGGUAAGGAAAACGAGUUUGGGAGCAACGCCUGCAAAGUCAACAAAACACGGACCCACACUGCAUGAGAAGACCACCUCCGCACACAGACCUGAUCUACCAGCAGGGGAGGGGGAGUAGAGGAGGCUUAGGGGAGGGGGAAGGACGAGCACAGAUACCGAAGAAGGAGAGAGACGUAGAGAGAAGAUGUGGGUGUUAUAGAUGAGGAGGGAGAAAUGAGAGAAAGAGAGAGGACAAAUAGUGGGUGUUAUCUAUGAGAAGGAAGGGGAGGAAUGAGAGAAAGAGAGAGACAGACAGUUAAUGUGGCGUAAAGUAGAAGAAAACAGUGUAAAGGGUGACGACAGAGAUGAAAAAUAGACCCGACCGUUAGAAAUACCGCAGGGGUACAUCUACUUAAGCAACUGGAUAUCGUCAAAAAACUUUAGUUGCUACAAACAGCUUUCACAGACAAGUUAAAUGGAGAUGAUUAGAAAAGAAACUUUAAAAACUGUGUUUAGCAAACUAAAGGGAAUGUCUGCACACUGAUGCUCAACAAUUAAAGAGGGUCCAUAAACUGAGCGAUAGUUUCAGAGUUGGCAUAAAUCGAGAGUAUCAACAGUUUAUUUGAUAAACUAUGUAUGAAUGACGGAAUUUUCUUCCGUCUGUCUUUCGUCACUCAUUUUCAUCAGCACACACGGGGCCUAAGUGCAGUCUACUACCAUUUUAUCCUCAUCGCCAAGAGGGGACCAUCCAGUAACUUGAGCGCCGUUCUAUUUUGGGCGAUGAUGUCACGCACUUCCUUGGCCCUCUCGUCUGCUGCGCAGACCUGACUUAUUGUCACUCCUUUCUUCAAUCACAGGUCUGCCCAGUCCUACACGCAGCCAAGGAACAUCGCGGAUUACAAGUAACUUUUGAUAAAGAAAUGCUAAAAUCUGUGUCACAAGAAGCGAGAUUCACCCAUGUCCAUCUUGUUCCAUAUUUACAUGGCGACCGGAAGUUGCUAGUCACCAGAGUCGCGCUCGUAGCUUCGCGCGAACAAAGCGGCACCAGCGAGACGGCACGAGAUUUGGCGAGAUGGCACGCACUCCCCGCACCUGGCGUCUCGCCGGCAUUCCGAGCUCUGACCUCUGAUAACCUCGUCUUAAAAUAGACAAAUAGAGAAAUAGAUUGCCGUAUAAAUGGUUCGUCAGCAGGCGGAGAAAGGAAUAAACGUGGGUUGCGCAGCGACGGAUGGGGAGGCACGUGGGCGAUUCCUGUGUGAGAGAGACAUACACACACAUGAUGGAUGUUUACGAUUAUUAUGGGGCAGGAAGAGACCUUGAAACAUUCUGUAAAGACAACCCAUUCAUCAAGUAUUUGCGUCUACUUACUGAAAUAAUUUAUACUGUCUUCCAGACGCACCAGAAACUCUUGGAGAAAUAGUAUGUAAGGAAAUAAAACCUGUAAAACAAGUGCUUGUCAUUAUGUUCAACAUCUCACUGUAAAGUGCGCCAUCUGUCAUAGACGAUACCAUAAUUCUUGUUUGGACGAGUACCAAUGGUCGAGAGAGAGAUGGAGGGAGGGGAGAAUCAAUGGUAAUUCUCUUCUGUCCAUUAUUUUAAAUUCCCUGCCCUUACUUUGUUACUUUAAUAGAAAUUGUCUUGGAGUUUUUUUUUUCCCUUAAAGAAAGUGUGCAAAAUAAUGAACUAAAGUCAAUCAGAGUGUAAAGAGCUGUUAUGAUACCAUAGACAGUCCUCACGAUGAGUAGUUGAAUCGUAGUAUUGUAUGCAAGUGGUCAGACUAGGACAGGAGAUGAACACACUAUGCGGAAUGAAAACCUCGGACAAAGCCGCAAGAACCUACGUCCGAAGCAGCGCAUCUUGCAGAAUAAAUAAAUAAAAAAAAUAAACAAAACCGUUGACUUGACACUGGAGCCUCUAGGGAAACGUAUUCUUAACCAACUUUUGUAGACGAACGUUUGACAGUUUUUGACAAAGUUUUUCUAUAAAUGCCGUUCUUAACUGAAAGAAAUGUCAAACCUCCGAAGUGCCCUGAACUGUCCUCACAUUAACAAGUGUAUUAGCAAACAAGUAACGGACUCGGUCUAGCAUGUUGACUAAUAUUUUACC